rnacentral:rRNA from 2 species
AGGAUCAUUAUUGAAUAAACCUGAUGUGACUGUUAGCUGGCUUUUCGAAGCAUGUGCUCGUCCGUCAUCUUUAAUCUCUCCACCUGUGCACAUUUUGUAGUCUUGGAUACCUCUCGAGGCAACUCGGAUUUUAGGAUCGCCGUGCUGUACAAGUCGACUUUUCUUUCAUUUCCAAGACUAUGUUUUUAUAUACACCAAAGUAUGUUUAAAGAAUGUCAUCAAUAGGAACUUGUUUCCUAUAAAAUUAUACAACUUUCAGCAACGGAUCUCUUGGCUCUCGCAUCGAUGAAGAACGCAGCGAAAUGCGAUAAGUAAUGUGAAUUGCAGAAUUCAGUGAAUCAUCGAAUCUUUGAACGCACCUUGCGCUCCUUGGUAUUCCGAGGAGCAUGCCUGUUUGAGUGUCAUUAAAUUCUCAACCUUCCAUGUUUUAUUAGCAUGGUUAGGCUUGGAUGUGGGGGUUGCGGGCUUCAUCAAUGAUGUCAGCUCUCCUUAAAUGCAUUAGCGGAACUUUUGUGGACCGUCUAUUGGUGUGAUAGUUAUCUACGCCGUGGAUGUGAUGCAGCUUUAUGAAGUUCAGCUUCUAACCGUCCAUUGACUUGGACAAUUUUGACAAUUUGAC